GGUCACCAUGGGCCAAUAUUUUUUUUUUCUUUAAUGAAAAACAUGGGUGGUACCAAUGAUCCUGAACUCUUUGAAUUCAUCAUGGACUAUAUGAAAAGCGAUCAGCUGAGAAAUCUAGAAGAUGAAGAUCUUGAUUGGUUUCCCUUUCUGUUAGUCAUCAUGGGUUACUCUGCUGUCUCUAUUGACGCCUCCCCACCGGAAGUAUAAAAGGCGAUGUCGCAUCCAGAGCAGGAUAACGAUGUCACGUGACACACAUCAUGCUUCACAUAGUUCAUUUUGAUGUAUUAGUUCAUUAGAUCAGGAGUGUUGCCACUUGCUGUAAGUUUUGUUUGUUUAGUUAGAGUAGUUAAGUUAGGGUGUGUGAGUGGCACGCUGAAGAUGUUGCUUUGAUUUUUAUUUUGAAUAUUCUAGGUUAAAUUUAAAUCCUUUUUUCUUUUAAAUUUUGUUUUAUUUUGUUGUUUCGUUUGGUAACACUCGUGCUCUCUUAAUUAUUUAAUUUAGUGAGUUUGUAUUAUCUCAAAGUUUUCUUGUUUUUUUGUUUUGUUUAUUGUCAAUUGUAAAUAUAUGUUUUCGGACACAUUUAAAGUCUAUUUCUUGUUCUAUUGGUUGGGGGUUAAAAUGAAUAAAUGUCUUUUCUCUGUUUGAACUUGUGGUCCUCUUCACCACCUGCCCACUUUUAUUUGCACUAUUAGGUUAGAUCCAAAUUUGGUUAUAGAUUUUUGUGAAUGUUACAUUCUCUUAAUGUCCCUAGACAAAUCAAAGAAGUUUUGGGUCAUAACAGUGGGUCAUCAAUGACAGAACAGGUAUCUGGUUUGGUGAGGCUGACUGAUGUUUCUGCUUUAUUGCCUCGCAGAGAAUUCAAAACACAUGGUGGUGUAAUUUCAGAUUCUGAUUCAGACAGUGAUUCACACUGCAGAGUUACAGCAAUGUAUGCAAACAAAUUGAUGAGGGUUUAAAAGAAAAAUUCUCUGAAUCUGAAAUCAUAUGUGCAGUGUUAUGAAUGAUCAAACCAGGUAACUUUAAAGACAUGUUGACCAACAAAGAUGAUCUCACUGCUGCAAAACUGAAACGGUUCUUGAAGUUACAUAUGAGAGA